rnacentral:rRNA from 1 species
UACGUAGGCAGCGAGCGUUGUUCGGAGUUACUGGGCGUAAAGCGUGCGUAGGCGGUGUCUUAAGUUUGUUGUGAAAUCUCCCGGCUUAACCGGGAGGGUGCGGCGAAUACUGAGAUGCUGGAGUGCCGGAGAGGUAAGCGGAAUUCCUGGUGUAGCGGUGAAAUGCGUAGAUAUCAGGAGGAACACCUGCGGUGUAGACGGCUUACUGGACGGUAACUGACGCUAAGGCACGAAAGCGUGGGUAGCAAACAGG